rnacentral:rRNA from 1 species
GACGAACGCUGGCGGCGUGCUUAACACAUGCAAGUCGAACGGAAAGGCCCUGCUUUUGUGGGGUGCUCGAGUGGCGAACGGGUGAGUAACACGUGAGUAACCUGCCCUUGACUGUGGGAUAACUUCAGGAAACUGGGGCUAAUACCGGAUAGGAGCGCCUGCUGCAUGGAGGGGGGGGGAAAGUUUCGGCGGAUGGGGGUGGACUCGCGGCUUAUCAGCUUGUUGGUGGGGUAGUGGCUUACAAAGGCUUUGACGGGUAGCCGGCCUGAGAGGGUGACCGGCCACAGUGGGACAGGGAUACGGCCCAGACGCCUACGGGAGGCAGGAGUGGGGAAUAUUGCACAAUGGGCCGAGGCCUGAUGCAGCAACGCCGGGUGCGGGAGGACGGCCUUCGGGUUGUAAACCGCUUUCGCCUGUGACGAAGCGUGAGUGACGGUAAUGGGGAAAGAAGCACCGGCUAACUACGU